rnacentral:rRNA from 1 species
UCCGUAGGCGGGCAAUUAAGUCAGAGGUGAAAUCCCACAGCUCAACUGUGGAACUGCCUUUGAUACUGAUUGUCUUGAGUUAUAGUGAAGUAGAUAGAAUGUGUAGUGUAGCGGUGAAAUGCAUAGAUAUUACACAGAAUACCGAUUGCGAAGGCAGUCUACUAACUGUAUACUGACGCUAAUGGACGAAAGCGUGGGGAGCGAACAGGAUUAGAUACCCUGGUAGUCC